rnacentral:lncRNA from 1 species
GGCGUCUCCACCGUGCGGCGCCACGAUCGAUGCGACACAGUACACCUGAGGAGUGAACCAUACCUGCGGAGAGUAGACUCUUCUCCAAAAGCAGCCCGCCAACAUGGGGUUAUCGCCUUCUAGUCUCCUAGAUGAACAUGGAUCCAACUACAUACGAGGUGCCCUUCUUUGUGAGGCAAUGGAAAACCUCUGAAAAGUUGAGUAAACUAAAAAAGGCUGUGAAACCAGUUACUUAGUAAUAAUAAUUAGUUGAAACAACUACAUUUUUUUACAGUGCAGCCUGCCCCAACACCAACAUUAUACACACCUGGAGAAGGGUGCUGCACACACACGUAGAGAGACACACCACACACACACACCUGAGAAAAACACUCACACAACUCAAACAGGUUGGCCUAGGUAGGUCAGGGACAUCCAGGUAUAUCAGGUUGCAAGGUUAUGAAAUCUAGGUAGUAAGCUUAUCAUUUGUUUGAUACAAACAAUCUUUUCAUUCACACUCUAAUGUAUCCAUACGCACGCACACACAAACAAGAAUCUUGAAUGAAAUGGAAGCAAUUGCAUUACAGGUUGGGUCAUAGCUCUCGCCCACGAGGAACGGUAGGAAAUCCACUCC